GGGCCCGCACAAGCGGUGGAGUAUGUGGUUUAAUUCGAUGCAACGCGAAGAACCUUACCUGGUCUUUGGACAUCCCGGAGACCCUUAGGAAACUAGGGGGUGCUUCCAUCUGGAAGAAUCUGGAGACAGGUGCUGCAUGGCUGUCGUCAGCUCGUGUCGUGAGAUGUUGGGUUUAAGUCCCGCAACGAGCGCAACCCUUGCCUUUAGUUGCCAGCAGUUCGGCUGGGCACUCUAAAGGGACUGCCGGUGUUAAACCGGAGGAAGGUGGGGAUGACGUCAAGUCCUCAUGGCCUUUAUGACCAGGGCUACACACGUACUACAAUGGCCGAUACAAAGGGCAGCGACACUGCGAGGUGAAGCCAAUCCCGUAAAAUCGGUCUCAGUCCGGAUUGGAGUCUGCAACUCGACUCCAUGAAGUUGGAAUCGCUAGUAAUCGUGGAUCAGCAUGCCACGGUGAAUACGUUCCCGGGCCUU
rnacentral:rRNA from 1 species